rnacentral:pre_miRNA from 1 species
UCAAUGCCGUAGAGCUAUUUGCACGGAACCUAAUUGUUUGAUAUCUCCCGAAUUCUCAAUUGGUCCCCUCCAAGUAGCUCUAUUGCUAUUGU